GAUGAACGCUAGCGGCGGGCUUAAUACAUGCAAGUCGAGGGGUAGCAAUACACCGGCGCACGGGUGCGUAACGCGUAUGCAACCUACCUUUAUCUGGGGGAUAGCCCGGGGAAACCCGGAUUAAUACCGCAUAAAGAAAACAGCUUGGCAUCAAGUAGUUUUUAAAGAUUUAUCGGAUAGAGAUGGGCAUGCGUAAGAUU
rnacentral:rRNA from 1 species